UACAGGGGGUGCAAACGUUGCUCGGAAUCAUUGGGCGUAAAGCGCACGUAGGCGGAUAGAUGUGUCAUAGGUGAAAUCCCCGGGCUUAACCUGGGAACUGCCUGUGAAACUGUGUAUCUAGAAUAUAGGAGAGGGAAGUGGAAUUUCCGGUGUAGCGGUGAAAUGCGUAGAUAUCGGAAAGAACACCAGUGGCGAAGGCGACUUCCUGGUCUAAUAUUGACGCUGAGGUGCGAAAGCGUGGGGAGCAAACGGG
rnacentral:rRNA from 1 species